rnacentral:sRNA from 1 species
GAUGCAGGGCGAAGCCCGGGCCUUGACGUUCUCUUCAGCAAGGAUUCCGCCCGUCAAGCGCCAGCAGCCGCUCCUAAGGAACUCUGAUCCGCACACUGGCUCUAUGGGGUGCGAACCGCUCACUCCCUCGGUAGAGAGGGCAAAAAGCAGAGACGACCGGGAAAUACCACAGAGGAGCAAAUCACCUCCGGAAGUGGCGUUUUGGGUCGCUUUCUACCAUGCAGUCCAAUGAACUCUUUCUUUUGGCAACAAAUUCCGUCUUCGAGCCCGCCCAAGGUGAAGAACAUUUUGAUUGGUUGUUUAGUCGGGGGACACAGAGACUCACGGGAGCUUCGUCCAAGCCCUUGCAGUGAUGUCUUGGCAUUGCCCAUUUUCAAGCAGGAAGAUUCCAGCCUUCCAUUGGAUGGUGAAACAGAGCACCCACCCUUUCAGUAUGUGAUGUGUGCUGCAACGUCACCAGCAGUAAAACUGCAUGAUGAAACGCUUACUUAUUUGAACCAAGGUCAGUCAUAUGAAAUUCGGAUGCUGGAUAAUCGGAAAAUGG